rnacentral:lncRNA from 1 species
GUUUGAAUAGCUAUGGCUCCUAAUUUCACAAGCGUCAUAAAUUUUGAAUUUAGUGAUGGAUAAGUUACCGCUAGUCGUAACAAACGAUGCUCCGUCAAACAAGUAUGUAUUUUAUGGUACCGCAUAAGUUCUGGUCGCCGUUCAACUGAGUGUUUCCAUUUGUUUUCUUCGUAUAUGUCUAAAGUCUGUUUUACAAUUUUGCUCACAGUAGCUUGUCUGGAAAAAAAAUUUCAGCCACAAAGUUUUCAACAAAAGAAUCAAAAUCAUAUUUUAUCAAAAUUUUG